UACGGAGGGGGCUAGCGUUGUUCGGAAUUACUGGGCGUAAAGCGCGCGCAGGCGGUCCUUCAAGUCAGAGGUGAAAGCCCAGAGCUCAACUCUGGAACGGCCUUUGAAACUAGAGGACUUGGGUACGGGAGAGGUGAGUGGAAUUCCGAGUGUAGAGGUGAAAUUCGUAGAUAUUCGGAAGAACACCAGUGGCGAAGGCGGCUCACUGGCCCGUUACCGACGCUCAGGCGCGACAGCGUGGGGAGCAAACAGG
rnacentral:rRNA from 1 species